CCUACGGGUGGCAGCAGUGGGGAAUAUUGGACAAUGGGGGGAACCCUGAUCCAGCGACGCCGCGUGAGUGAAGAAGUAUUUCGGUAUGUAAAGCUCUAUCAGCAGGGAAGAAAGAAAUGACGGUACCUGACUAAGAAGCCCCGGCUAACUACGUGCCAGCAGCCGCGGUAAUACGUAGGGGGCAAGCGUUAUCCGGAUUUACUGGGUGUAAAGGGAGCGUAGACGGCGAUGCAAGUCUGAAGUGAAAGGCGGGGGCCCAACCCCCGGACUGCUUUGGAAACUGUAUGGCUGGAGUGCAGGAGAGGUAAGUGGAAUUCCUAGUGUAGCGGUGAAAUGCGUAGAUAUUAGGAGGAACACCAGUGGCGAAGGCAGCGUGCCGUGCCGCCACUGACGCUGAGGCACGAAAGCGCGGGGAUCGAACAGGAUUAGAUACCCGAGUAGUC
rnacentral:rRNA from 1 species